AAUCUUGCGCAAUGGAGGGAACUCUGACGCAGCGACGUCGCGUGAGCGAAGAAGGUCUUCGGAUCGUAAAGCUCUUUCUUUGGGGUUGAAGGAAGUGUCGGUUCCCAAGGAGGAAGCUCCGGCUAACUACGUUCCAGCAGCCGCGGUAAUACGGAGGUCGCAAGCGUUAUCCGGAAUUAUUGGGCGUAAAGGGAGCGCAGGCGGCUUAUUAAGUCUGAGGUUAAAGUUCGGGGCUCAACCCCGUGAUGCCUUAGAAACUGCUAGGCUAGAGUGCAGGAGAGGUGGGUGGAAUUCCAUGUGUAGCGGUAAAAUGCGUAGAUAUAUGGAGGAACACCAGUGGCGAAGGCGGCUCACUGGCCUGUAACUGACGCUGAGGCUCGAAAGCGUGGGGGGCAAAUA
rnacentral:rRNA from 1 species